AUGUUCCACCUUAAGUUGAAUGCUCCGUUGUUAGUGUCUAAAGAUUGUAUAGUAUCCAAUCCAGUGACAGUAUUAAAAAAAAAGUAAAAUACUUAAAAUGUGAUCCUUUUAUAAUUUCACAAUAUGAUAUUUAAAUAUAAAUAAAACAAGGAUGUCCUAAGUUAGUUAUUCAACUAUUGUUACUUCACACUGUUUGGUAGUUGUCCAUAAAGGUAGGUUGUUGUAUUCUGUGCAGCUAAAAGUAGAUCAAAUUCUAAUUACAGAAGUUCAUUGCACAUGUUCUUUGACCACACAUGUCUCCUCUUUCUCUUAAACCUUCCCAUUCUAUUUUGUCCAGUCUUCCCCUCCUCUUUCUCUUUCUUUCUAUUUCUUGCUACCCCUCCUUGUUUCUUUCAUCUAUCUCACCCAAAUUCCAUAU
rnacentral:lncRNA from 1 species